AGUGAACGCUGGCGGUAGGCCUAACACAUGCAAGUCGAACGGCAGCACAGUAAGAGCUUGCUCUUACGGGUGGCGAGUGGCGGACGGGUGAGGAAUACAUCGGAAUCUACUUUUUCGUGGGGGAUAACGUAGGGAAACUUACGCUAAUACCGCAUACGACCUACGGGUGAAAGCAGGGGAUCUUCGGACCUUGCGCGAUUGAAUGAGCCGAUGUCGGAUUAGCUAGUUGGCGGGGUAAAGGCCCACCAAGGCGACGAUCCGUAGCUGGUCUGAGAGGAUGAUCAGCCACACUGGAACUGAGACACGGUCCAGACUCCUACGGGAGGCAGCAGAGGGGAAUAUUGGACAAUGGGCGCAAGCCUGAUCCAGCCAGACCGCGUGGGUGAAGAAGGCCUUCGGGUUGUAAAGCCCUUUUGUUGGGAAAGAAAAGCAGCAGGUUAAUACCCCGCUGUUCUGACGGUACCCAAAGAAUAAGCACCGGCUAACUUCGU
rnacentral:rRNA from 1 species